rnacentral:misc_RNA from 1 species
GAUGAAGAAGGUAGCGAAAUGCGAUAAGUAAUGUGAAUUGCAGAAUUCAGUGAAUCAUCGAAUCUUUGAACGCACCUUGCGCCCUUUGGCUAUUCCAGAGGGCAUGCCUGUUUGAGUAUCAUGAACACCUCAACUCUCAUGGUUCUGCCAUGAUGAGCUUGGACUUUGGAGGUCUUGCUGGCCCCUGUGGUCAGCUCCUCUCAAAUGGAUCAGCUUGCCAGUGUUUGGUGGCAUCACAGGUGUGAUAACUAUCUACGCUUGUGGUUUUCCACCAGGUAACCUUCAGUGAUGGAGGUUCGCUGGAGCUCAUAAACGUCUCUCCUCAGCGAGGACAGCUUCUUGAAUGUUUGAUCUCAAAUCAGGUAGGGCUACCCGCUGAACUUAAGCAUAUCAAUAAGCGGAGGA